rnacentral:rRNA from 1 species
GACGAACGCUGGCGGCGUGCUUAACACAUGCAAGUCGAACGAUGAAGAAAAGAAUUGAAGCUUCGGCAGAAAUUCAUUUCGGAUUAGUGGCAGACGGGUGAGUAACGCGUGAGCAACCUACCUCUUACAAAGGGAUAGCCUCGGGAAACCGGGAUUAAUACCAUAUAACAUUGCGACGAAGCAUUUCGAUGCAAUCAAAGCUACGGCGGUAAGAGAUGGGCUCGCGUCCCAUUAACCAGAUGGUGAGGUAACGGCUCACCAUAGUAACGAUGGGUAACCGGCCUGAGAGGGUGAACGGUCACACUGGAAAUGAGACACGGUCCAGACUCCUACGGGAGGCAGCAGUGGGGAAUAUUGCACAAUGGAGGGAACUCUGAUGCAGCGACGCCGCGUGAGUGAUGAAGGAAUUCGUUUCGUAAAACUCUGUUCUAUGGGAAGAAAAGGACUGUACCAUAGGAGAAAGCUCCGGCUAAAUACGUG